rnacentral:rRNA from 1 species
UACGUAGGGGGCGAGCGUUGUCCGGAAUCAUUGGGCGUAAAGCGCGUGUAGGCGGCCCGGUAAGUCCGCUGUGAAAGUCCAGGGCUCAACCCUGGGAUGCCGGUGGAUACUGGGGGGCUCGAGGGAGGUAAGGGCAAGCGGAACUUCCGGUGGAGCGGUGAAAUGCGUUGAUAUCGGAAGGAACGCCGGCGGCGAAAGCGGCUUGCUGGACCUCAUCUGACGCUGAUGCGCGAAAGCCAGGGGAGCGAACGGG